GGUAUCUCUCUUCGUUCAUUUUCUAUCUUCGCUUCUUCACCCAAACAGUCUUCUGUCUCUCUCUAACUCAGUCUCUUCUAGUUAUCUUCUUUCAUUAGAUUCAUGCUAUAAAAUCAUGAAUCCAACUUCUCAGUAAGAUGAAUCGUGAGCCUAUAUCAAAAGCAACCCAAACAACCCAACCUUUCAGCAGAAAUCAAUUACCCUAACCCAUGUAUCAGCAAAAAUCUAAAGUAAACAUUGUAACCCAAGAUCUACUUGAUUUGCUCCCAAAAUCAUCAAGUAAGGUAUUCACUUUUCUACUUUUACCUACAAGAUCUCUUCUCCUAGAGUUGAAGAAAUCACCUGUCGUAAAGAAGGAUUUAACCCCAUCAUAGAUUGGUAUCAAUUUCAUGAUUCUCAUGGUGUUGCUCAAGUUAACAGUGUUUUCUUAGAAUUUCUUGUGUUUUUCUCGAUUGAUUUGUCUGUAUUGGUCUAAUUUGGUUUUGGUUUUGGUUUGAUAUUUAAAAGUUCACAAGGGUUUAUACAGACUAUUGAUUGAAUAUUUAUUGUGGUUUUUAAGUUUAUAUGAAGUUUUAGAAUCUGGUUUUUAUGUUUUUGUUUGAUUGGAAUACAGAAAAAUUGAAAUUUUUAGAUUUUGGCUCGUGUAUAUUGCUGCUUUGGGGUUCAAAAGUUGAUUGAAUUGCUUCUGUCAUUGCUGAAGCUUAAUUUUUUUUGUCAAAUAUGUUUGAUGAAGAAUCUUAUAUUGUUAUGUAUUCAAAGUUUGUAUUCGGAUACAUUUUUCACUAGUGACACUGGCAAGUGGCAAUUUUUUGUCAUGUAAGGCUCUUCAUUGGUAACUCGUUAUGCCCAUGUUAAUUCAAGCUUCCAUGUUUCGUUUAAUCUUACAUAUGUAAUGUCAUAAUUUGGGAUACGCAAAAAUGUCCUUGUAUUUUUGCAGCUUUGUGAGCAUCCUCCAGGAAAUGUCAGACAAGGACUUGUAUCUGUUAUUGGUGGACUAUUGUUAAAGUGUAGUUUCACUCCUAAGAAGAGCUAGUUCAUGCAUUUGGUGAGAUAAAAUUGUCUCGAAAUGUAUCUGAACUUUUGGGAUAAAAUAUUUAGGAAAUGAAUGAUUUUACAUACUCAAUAUCACUAACCGGUACCAAAUUGAAAAGGUUUUCGACUCUAAAACUAUCCUUUUGUUUAAAGGACUUUGAAACAUGCAGUAAUUUUCAAGUCAUGGGAUAUGUCUCUUAAGAUAAAAACUCAUUUUAACUGUCAAUUUUGAGACUAAUGCUUCUCAUUUUAAAUUUAUUGCAGGAAUGUUUAUUUUUUCUGGUUUAUGCUUAUUCUGAUGAAGUGUCUGUUGUAGCAGCACACGAUUCUAUUGAAUGUUCCCUUAUGCUGGGUGAAAAAGGACUUAUAGAAGUAUAAAUUGGUGAUAUCAUUAAAUGGUUGGUAUGCUUUGAUUAUUUUUGUCAUUUAUUUCAAUGGUUGUCUCAGAUCUAAGUAAGAGUUUGUGACAAGAUGGUAGAAAAACUUCCGAAAGUGGUGCUUGGAAACGAAGAACAUGUUGCAUUGUCCAAUGCUUAAUGAUUACUUGCAGGCAUUCAACUUCUAGUGGACCAUGUUCUUCGAUCUCCUGUUCUAGCGGAAUCAUACAGUUUGGAUGUGAAUCUGACUAUGAAAUGAGAUGCGCUUGGGUAUUUGUUUUAUUCUUGUCUUAACAGUUUGAAACCUGGCAUUUUUUCCGUUGGUAUACAUCCAUCCAAGGAUGGCUCUCUUUCUCGUUGCACUCUCAAUCACCACAGGCUUCUGAAAUGGAUCUUAAAAUGCAAUACCAAGCUCUUUGACCUAUCAGUUUCUAACUUAAAACCAAGUGCAUCUACUUCCUAUUUCAAGUGUUGCAGAUUCCUCUUCUUCAAAGACACCACCCGACAAGGACCGGGACUAUGGAGAAGCAUUAUGGUUAUGCAAAACUUCACUCAUGUUUUCUUUGUAAUUUUUGUACAAUGAUUUUCUUUUUAGAUUUCUGGAUGUUUCAUUAAUUAUUUUAGAUUUGGAACUGAUUGUAGUUUGUCAUUGUAAAAUGAAAUCCACGUGUUUAGUGAAUUUUUCGCGGAUUUAGAACUUGAUUAAUUGUAGUUUC